rnacentral:rRNA from 1 species
GACGAACGCUGGCGGCGUGCUUAACACAUGCAAGUCGAACGAUGAAGCCGGAGCUUGCUCCGGUGGAUUAGUGGCGAACGGGUGAGUAACACGUGAGCAAUCUGCCCUUGACUCCGGGCUAACUGCGGGAAACUGUAGCUAAUAACGGAUCCGACACCUUGGGGCAUCCCCGGGUGUGGCAAGAAUUUCGGUCAAGGAUGAGCUCGCGGCCUAUCAGCUAGUUGGUGAGGUAAGGGCUCACCAAGGCGACGACGGGUAGCCGGCCUGAGAGGGUGACCGGCCACACUGGAACUGAGACACGGUCCAGACUCCUACGGGAGGCAGCAGUGGGGAAUAUUGCACAAUGGGCGAAAGCCUGAUGCAGCAACGCCGCGUGAGGGAUGGAGGCCUUCGGGUUGUAAACCUCUUUUAGCAGGGAAGAAGCGAAAGUGACGGUACCUGCAGAAAAAGCACCGGCUAACUACGUGCCAGCAGCCGCAGUAA